GACUUCUGGUUUAAUGCACCUGGCCCGCGGCCCACAAGGCCUGUGAGUGCCGGCGCGCGUUUACCAUCCUUCCAGCAGACCGGCCAAUACUAGCACCCCCAACUAUCCCUAUCAAUCAUUACUUCAGUUAUAGAAACCAACAAAAUAGAACCGAAGUCCUAGAUUAUUAUUCCAUGCUAAUGUAUUCAGAGCAAACGCCUGCUUUAAACACUCUAAUUUUUUCAAAGUAAAAGAUCCAGUUCCAGCCGCCCAGUUAAGGGUAGCCGUUGUCAGAGGUGAAAUUCUUGGAUUCGGUCAAGACUAACUUAUGCGAAAGCAUU
rnacentral:rRNA from 1 species